rnacentral:rRNA from 1 species
UCGAAAUCCACUGAUCUAUCAAGUUUAUAAUUAUAUAAUAUAUUACAAAAUAUUAUAUAAAAACUUUCUAGAAGUGAAAUUCUUUUCAAAGUUGGGGAUAUCUAAUUUUAAUUAAAAAACCAAAAGUAAGCUUAUAAAUUAAUUAUAUUAUAUAAUAUUAUAAGUAAAUAUUUAAGGGAUAAGCUUUAAAUAAAAUUUAUUUAAAUUUAAGUUUUAAUUUAAAUAAGAAAUAAAAUUUUUCUCAUAGUGUUAUAAAUAAUUAUAUUUUUUAUAAUUUAAAAAAAUAAUUUUUUUAUAAAAUAUAUAAAAUUAUAUAUAUAUUUAAAAAUGAAAAUAUUAGUAAAAUAUUUAUUUUAAUUAAAAUUUUAAUAUUUAUAAAAAAUAAAAUAUAAUAAAUAAAUUUAAAAAACUCGGCAAAAAUUUUUUUUGACUGUUUAUUAAAAACAAUGUAUUUAGAUUUUAAUAAUUAAAUAUAAAUCCUGCUCAAUGAAUAUUAAAUUGCUGUAGUAUUUUGACUAUACAAAGGUAUUGUAAUAAGGCUUUAAUUGAGCGCUAAGAGAAUGGAUUUUCAAGAAAAUUCUUUUUUAAAUUUAAAAAUUGAAGUUAUUUUUAUUUGUGAAGAAACAAGAAUAAAAAUUAAAGACAAGAAGACCCUAUGAAUUUUUUUUAAAACACAAUUAUAAUAUUAAUUGUGUUUUAAUUAAUUGGGGCGAUUAAAAAAAAUUAUAAACUUUUUAUAAAAAUAAAAUGAUCCACAAAUUGUGAUUUUAUGAAAUAAAUACUCUAGGGAUAACAGCGUAAUAAUUUUAGAUAGAUCAUAUAGAAAAAAUAGUUUGCGACCUCGAUGUUGGAUUAGGAUACUUUUUUAAUGAAGAAGUUAAAAAAAGAAGUUUGUUCAACUUUUAAUAUCCUACAUGAUCUGAGUUUAGACCGAUGUGAAUCAGGUUGGUUUCUAUCUUAAUUAUAAUUGAAUUUUAAUUAGUACGAAAGGAAUUUUAAAAUGAAAAAUUUUUCAUUAAUUUAACAG